rnacentral:lncRNA from 1 species
GGGAUAAUCCAUGUAUCCCCUUCCCUUCCACACCACCUGCCCCACUGUCAGUAUCCUGCACCAGAAGGGUACAUUUGCUACAAUGGAACCUAUACUGACACAUCUUAUCAUCCGAGGUCCGCAGUUUACAUUAGGGUUCACUUUUGGUGUAGUACUUUUUUUUUACCUAAAAAGAGGGAGGUCCCAUCAGCAACCUUUUGAUGCUCCAUUUCUCUCUUCACUGAUCUCAUGGCAGUCGUCACUACAUAGCCCGUUGGAGCCCACACCACGGCUUGAUACGAGUGUGCACACGCAGUCGAAGCCACCCUUAAUGCUUGCUGUUCUGCGUCCUUUGAUGUCUCUUGCUCAGCAGUCCAGCUAUUACCAUUAUCCAUGUACCACGAUAAAAGAUGGUGGAAUAUUUAUCCCACGGCCCCACCAAGAGUUCCAAAAAAGAAAGAGUUGGUCAUUGGCGCAUUUCCCAAAGUCUCGGUUGGGUUGCUUAGACUGCGUGCACCUUCAUCCUCAUCGUCAACGUCAUCCACAGUAACCCAGGAGCAGUGGCCCACUGGUGCCUGGAAGAAGUGGCCUAAAAGUGAGUAGCGCUGAAUUCGAGC